ensembl:lncRNA
AUGAAAGGUUGCGACUAUCUUUACCAACUGACACUGAUUACAUGUUUAUCGAGCUGCAUGAGUCCUCGUGAGGAAACCAGAGACCCUGGAAUUGCUACAGUAAGUACACUGAGAGCCUGCUGCUGUCAAAAGUAUGUGGACACUUACUGGUUAUCAAAGAUGGCCGUGUGUUUUGUGCAGGGUACUUUGUUGGAAAUGCACGGCAGAGAAUUUAAUCCAGCUGAUCUAUCAACAAACGAGGCAGCAGCGAGUGCAGUGCAUCCCAGGCAUGACGUGACAUAAGUAACCGAGGUCUCAUGUGCUUGUGUCCUUAUGCCUGUGACCUCUCUGUUAAAAGGUCGUCCUAAUGAGACUGCUCUCUGGUAACCUUCAAGCGCCACGCUGGAGUGCAGGAAACAAUGCUGCGUUACCAAUGCUAUUUUGAAUGGUGUCACAGUGUAAAACUGGCAGCGUUGAAUUAUUGCCGGCCCUUUGAUGCUGUUUUUAUCCCUGCAGUCUUGUCAACACGUAUAAUCAUACUGCAGAUUCCUGAUCCAGGGUCUGAUAUUGUCAAUAACGCUGCCCAAAAAACACAAGCAGAAACGUCUUGUCAUGAUGACUCAGCACUUUGUUAUGGCCUUGGUAAAUAUCUCGUUCAGUAAUCAUUCUGUUUGCUCCGGCGCAGCAGUUCCCCAACUGGUGUCAUGUCACCAGAGUCCCAAGAUAAACCUGAACGGUCACCAGACGAAUUAAAAGAGUAGUCCACCAUUUUUUAAAAAGUAUAAAAAUCAUUGUAGCAAAACCAGAGAUAUGCAAGCAUUCUUCUUCUUUGUCAAUACAGGGCACCUACAUUACCCACAAUGCAAUAGUUUGGUCAGCAUUAUCAGCAUGCAUUUUUAUGGAUCCCACUGCUUUUUCAUGCAAGAUCCAGCCUACUCUGCCUUUGGUUUGUGUCUAUCGUUUUUGUAUGCAGAAAUCUUCGACAGCUCCGUGGGCCUGGUACUGCAUGCGAAAUACAACCAUCACUUUUUUUGAUGGAACAACAAGAAAAGCAGUAAUGUUCAACUGAUGUUGCCUCCUUUUUGCUGGAGAAGAAACUCGGAAAACAGUCCGACAAAGAUUUUCAUGCCACGAUGAAUUGGCUGUUUAAACAGACAACAAAUAAGAAAAGAAUUAGCUAGCUAGCAUGCUAUUUCUUAACUGUAUGUUCAGUGGCUGUAAUGUUGCGUUCGUGCUUUUCUUGCAGUUGGUUUGGGGGCAAACAGUCAACUGCAGACCAUAUAUAGCAUGUUGUGUGCUGUAGUCUCCCAGGUAAACACACCAACCUCCUCAAUUGUCACAACUGCAGUAUCUCUGGGCUUGUCAGGUAGCGUGGGCAGCCUGGUGGCUGACGAGGUCGUUGUGCUUACUGGGGAAACUUCAGCUCAUGAACUGUCGUAUAAGAACUGCAAGAAAAACAGACAUAACCAGAGCUGCACUAUAAUUUAACAGUUUGAAUCAAGCGUAGAAUGUAACAAACAAAAGCAGUGGGAUCAAAGAUCGGGUGUGUUAUGAAAUGAUGAGCAGGCAACAGACGUCUGGUGAGCUCUCUUCUUUCUAACUGCGCACAAACAGAUUAAACUUGCAGUCUUUUGACCCAACCGACACUGACUCGGGUGACAUAGCUUGAAGCAAUAUGGAUGCCUCCCAUCAGCCAAAAAACUGUUUGAUGCAAUUAAAACCAAACAAUUGAAUGGAUAUCAUACUACAUUGUCAAUGCACAGUAUUUUUGUUUUCACAUGAAUCUUUCGUGAAUGCUCACAUGAAUUUUUCCCAUCCCUUCCAUCCAUCCCACAUAACAUACAGGCAGCAGAAGGCCAUAACCUGUGAUGAGGGGUCACAAGUGGACUCAUUCUUAAGGGUCACGAGCCAGACAGGUUUGGAACAACUGCACCAACAUUCCUUGUUACUGUCAGUCAACUGCAAGAGUCUAAACAAUCACAAAUGAUGGUGCAAAAGUCAGAUUCGUAACUUAAAUCACUUUUUCUAUUACUUUGUCUUAUGUCUGGACACAAAAGCACUUGUCAACCUAUGUUUGUGCAGUCAGUCACAAGCCCACACUUCCUAAAAUCUCUUUGUGAUUGUUCCUCUCUAGUCGCUCAUCUCCCUUGCAAUUAGCUUUGCGGCUGCCGCGUGUGUACUCCAAGGAAAAAAAAAAAAACAGUCAGCGAAAGCAGGCACUCAGGAAGACGAAGUCCUAGAAAACAAACUCCGGAAGCCACUGACAGUUCUGUCUGCCCACUCUGGUUCCCUGGCUAAAGCCGCGGCUGCUGUGGCUCUGCUGUGGUUGCCACUUGUCCAUGCCUAAAGACAUCUGACGCAGGGCCAUUUCUAGGUUACAAUAACAACCCCACAGUGACACUGCUGCCGCGCCGGAUAUCCGAAACACUAAGCAACUCAUCAAGGCAUAUUUAGUUUGGGGCUUGUAAAUAACUGGUGCCCCCCGCAGAACACCAGUACAUAUUUCUCAUUGACGGAGCAUUUUGUCCUCAUGAAGAGCGAAAAAUACUUCCAGCUUGCAGCAUAACGACACAGAGUUUAUGGGCAGCAGAAUGGAACACAUCAUCUUUCAUUUCAUACUCAUGCAAAACAUGUCAACCUUUUAGCAUCCUACCUGAAAUACGUCAAUACUAAAGCACCAAUCUAUUUUUUCUUUGCUCUGCGUGGAAUGUAAAUAACAACACUGCAGUCUCCACCCGCGGAACAACCAUACAAGGACAACGGCGCUGGACUGAGAGUGCCCCACACAAACUACCAGUCUGAGAUGCUAUACAGUGCAUAAUGAUGGCAUUCACAUCAGUGGUUGAGGGGGAAAACUGCCUCCUGACCACUUCCAACUAACAAGCUCAAAUUAAGACCACCGAUGACCUCACGACUUCCAACUAGGCUAGUAAAUCCAGCUGGAUGUCUUAUUCCAAAAUAGUCUGGUUAUACUGCUUACUGGUGCCACGGAUAUAUAUCACACUCACAAGUUUAUUAAAUAUCUUGAAAUACAACAGGUGAAUAUAAGUCAGUUAGUAAUCAAACUCUAAACUUCUUACCGAUAGUCAACUUAAACAGUCUGCUAGAUGCUGUCGCCUUUAUAUAAUUUAUUCUGCUUUUAUGAACAGACAUUAAUAUUUAUUUUGCAGUUGUGCAUUAUCCAAUUUUACCAGUAUUCCACUCCGAAUAACUAUAAACUUGGUCACAUUUACUUUGCCAUCUCACUUUUUAAAUUAAUAACCUGCACAAUUUAAGGGAGCUUCUAAAGGUUUAUUUUAAUGUUCCUUUGCAUCCCCCCCUUUCAUCUUUUGUUGCUUAUGAGUAUGUUAAUCUCUAAUAUUUGUAUAUGUUU